rnacentral:rRNA from 1 species
AACGAACGCUGGCGGCGCGCCUAAUACAUGCAAGUCGAGCGAGAAGACGUAGCAAUACGUUUGUAAAGCGGCGAACGGGUGAGGAAUACAUGGGUAACCUACCCUCGAGUGGGGAAUAACUAGCCGAAAGGUUAGCUAAUACCGCGUACGCUCCUUGGACUUCGGUUCAGGGAGGAAAGCGAUACCGUGGGUAUCGCGCUCUUGGAUGGGCUCAUGUCCUAUCAGCUUGUUGGGAGGUAACGGCUCACCAAGGCUUCGACGGGUAGCUGGUCCGAGAGGACGAUCAGCCACACUGGCACUGCGACACGGGCCAGACUCCUACGGGAGGCAGCAGUAAGGAAUAUUGCGCAAUGGGCGAAAGCCUGACGCAGCGACGCCGCGUGGGGGAGUGAAGGUCUUCGGAUU